UUGAUUUAGACUUUCCGUGAUGGCAGAUUAAUACUUUAAAUGGAAAAAUAAAAAAUACAUAAAAAAAAUAAAAAUAAAACAAUCAAGACGCCGGCUGUGAACCUGCAGGCAAAAUGACACUCCAGACCACCAGAGGGCACUUCAACAGGUCUUCAGUUCACGUCAUCAGAACGGAGCCUCCUAAUGAGGCAGGUCAGCCGGUGCCACGGCGAGGAACUGGGUCAUCAGCUUCCUGGUUUUGGCUUCACAGGUCUGGCCGGAGGAACCAAAGGUGACAACACCUCUGGCACGCUGCCACUCUGCUGAGUCAGGAUUAGCCUGCAGCUCUCAGCCCCCCCCACCCGCCCGCCCCGAGCAAAAUGCAGCACUGCGAAGCAGCCUGAGGACAGAUUGCUGAGAAUGCACUAUGCCAAUGUCCCGAACCCUGAUUAUUCACAUCACAGCACCUCACACAUGCUACACUACCAGAAUACAAAGCACAUGUUACAUUAACAUAUUAAAACUAGCUAAUGGCUACAGUAGUUUGACAAAAAGCCAUUGUUUGGAGCGUUCAAAUCUCUUAAAAGUUUGAGAUCAAUUAUUUUCAGCUCCUUUCAGUGGUGCUAAGGUUUCAGAAGAUGCAGGCAGAGCACCGAUUCUGACGGAGAGUCAAAGCACCCAUUUGAAAAGGCAGUUUGGGAUUAAUAUCACUUGUGAAUGUUUGUGUUUUAUACAUAUUUUGUUCUACACAGCUUUUUAAAUAGUUAAUAAAAGACACAAAAAUGUAAGAAGUAUUCCACAUGGAACAGAAAAUACACUUACACGUUGUUCCAACAAUGGGUUUGUCCUUUCCUUCCAGUAGGUCCCAGAGGUGCACAGAUGCAUCGUCGUACUGGUCAGUUAACCUGCAAGAGUCCAGAUCAAGUGUCAGGAUAUGCAACAGAAAAAAACACAAAAAAAAAAGAUUUAUCACUGUUUAUUGAGGAAUAAAAGUCAAACGAACCUCACGUUUGGAUCACGUUCUGGUCCCACCAACUUGUAGAACUCAUCAAAAGCUGCCAGGUCUUCGUCGGUCAUCAGAGGUGAGCUGCAGACUCCCUGUUUCAGGUCCUGCCGCACAGCGCUGUCACCCAGCCGGUCCAAGAGAAACUGGACUUCCAGAACCGUCUUGAGUUUCCUCUGCUCCGCCUCUUCUCGCACCAACUGCUCCCUCCGCGCAGACUUCUUCACCACCUUCUGGAUCUGACCGUGAAGCACACAAACCACAAGACGUUAGAUUGGAAAAAGGUCAAGAUGGCUGCAUCUGCCCAACAUUUUCAAGUGAUGCAUAACAACAACUGAUCUUUUUGUUGUUCGAUUAAAGUUAAAUAGUUUGAAUAAAAGCAAUUUUUAGUCACUAUUGUA